rnacentral:SRP_RNA from 1 species
GCUACGACUAGGCCGGGAAGGUAGGCCGUUCCUGUUACCUGAAUGGUCUUUAUGCAGGGGCCGAAGCUCGAUGAGCGACGGCGGAAUUCUGCAACUGCGUACUGUCCCGACAAUGAACUCUCGUCCCUCUUGAUCUGCGGAAGAAGAGGUCCCUUUCGGAGGGAAGUGGAUCAAUCUUCUUUAUCUUGUGAACCCCGUCAGGUCCGGAAGGAAGCAGCGGUAGUAGGAACGUUGGAUGCUUGAGGGGUAGCGGGGAGGAGAAAGGCUGUACUGCAAGUACAGGAGGAAACCCCCAUCAUCGAGCAUGUCUUUUC